GAUGAACGCUGGCGGCGUGCUUAACACAUGCAAGUCGAACGGAAAGGCCCAAGCUUACUUGGGUACUCGAGUGGCGAACGGGUGAGUAACACGUGGGUGAUCUGCCCUGCACUUCGGGAUAAGCCUGGGAAACUGGGUCUAAUACCGGAUAGGACGAUGGUUUGGAUGCCAUUGUGGAAAGUUUUUUCGGUGUGGGAUGAGCUCGCGGCCUAUCAGCUUGUUGGUGGGGUAAUGGCCUACCAAGGCGUCGACGGGUAGCCGGCCUGAGAGGGUGUACGGCCACAUUGGGACUGAGAUACGGCCCAGACUCCUACGGGAGGCAGCAAUGGGGAAUAUUGCACAAUGGGCGCAAGCCUGAUGCAGCGACGCCGCGUGGGGGAUGACGGCCUUCGGGUUGUAAACUCCUUUCGCUAGGGACGAAGCGUUUUUGUGACGGUACCUGGAGAAGAAGCACCGGCUAACUACGUG
rnacentral:rRNA from 1 species